AUUGAACGCUGGCGGCAGGCCUAACACAUGCAAGUCGAGCGAGAGGCGAACGGGGGAGUAAAGUAUGGGGACAGCCCGAUAGAGGGGGAUAAAUCGUGGAAAAGGUAGCUAAUACCGCAUAAUAUCGGAUAAACCAUAUGGGAUGAGCUAGUAGGGUAGGUAAUGGCUCACCUAGGCGACGAGCCCUAGCUGGUCUGAGAGGAUGAACAGCCACACUGGAACGGAGACACGGCCCAUACUCCGACGGAGGCAGCAGUGGGGAAUAUUGCACAAUGGGCGCAAGCCUGAUGCAGCCAUGCCGCGUGUAUGAAGAAGGUCCUAGGGUUGUAAAGUACUUUCAGUCGGGAGGCGUUACCGACAGAAGAAGCACCGGCUAACUCCGUGCCAGCAGCCGCGGUAAUUC
rnacentral:rRNA from 1 species